rnacentral:lncRNA from 1 species
AAUAGACAACCUCGUGUUACAAUAUUUGAAUCUAAGAAUGAACGAUUUAAAUCGUAUACCUAGUCUAGAGAAAGUCUAGCAACGCUCAAGACUUCAAGUAGAAAGAAAACUAACACCCAACUAGGAUGAACCGUAUUUUAAUAUAAACCUCUCCAUAACAAGGUCUACAAGGUAGAGGAACUUAAUAGAAAGGUAAUCAUCGAGGUCACC